GGGGAAGAUCUCUUUCUGGAGAUUUCCCCUCUGUGGAAUCUUUCUUGCAAAUCUAGGUCUUUGGAUACAGGUGGUGAUCUGCUGCCAGAAUAAAUAAAUUUCAGGAAGUGCCAAGGCCGCUCAGCCAUUUACUGUGAUUUCACUCCUACAUAAGGAAUUUGUAUCACCAACUUUCUUCAAGUAUCUCCUCUAUUAUAACAUUACUAAAUUGAAGUUUUAGGAGUUGAGGCAAAAUGUAUUGGCUCCCAAGUCUUUCACAGGAGCGAGACGUUGUUUAUUCUACUAUCAGUAAAUUCAUUACGAAGAAGCAUGAAUGCACAAAAUUUCCUGAGGAUUUCAGUGAGCACUCCACAGCCCUUUGAUAGACUUACCACUGUUCCAGAGAAACCUGUAGAACCUUACUAAGAAAAUGAACCCUUUGAGUAAGGAGCUGCAAGAAAAAAUGCUCAAAACUACUGCUAUACACAAGUACUUCUACUAAUCUAGCAAUUUUUAAUAUCACAGUUAGGCUUCUAAGGACCAAUCCUAAACACCAUGAAGUCAAUAGGAAAACUGCUUAUGGCUUCCAGAGCCUUAGGAUCAGCACUUCAGUCUGUUGGGUUUUGUCUGGUUUAUUUUUAUUUUUUUUUAUUGUAUGAAAUGUGGAUAAGAAGAUCAUUGAAUGGCAAGGAUUGGAGUUUCCUAAUGUGCUCAUUCAGCAGACAAGAAGCACUGGAAACUGGAACUUCUGAGUGCUGCUGCUGCACUUUGCCCUUGACUGGCUGUAUGACUUAUGCACACUGGCUCCUGCUGGAAACUCCAGCUUUCUUGUUGGUACAAUAGAGUGCAGAAUAAUUCUGCUGAAGACAACACUAUUACUGCAGGAGAAAAGCUAAGCUUUGCUCAUGAAGAGCAGAGAUCUUUCCUAUUUUCCUUUAUGGAAACUGUCAUUCACAAGAAGACAUAGGGAGGAAAAAGGAGCAACGUGAAGGAAAAAAGAAGGAAUAGGAGUGGGAGGCUGCCAUGGUGAUGACCAACCUUCCACUGCUUUAAGUCCUUAAGUGUAUUACAUUCUAUAUUCUGGAUUUAAUUAUGGUGCUGGAGUGUAAUGCUAAUAACACUGCACAGUUUUAUCUUCUCUCUCUGUCUGAUGUACAUCUAAUUAAAAUAGGCAUUAAUUAAUAUGUGCUGAACUUUAGGUGAUUAAAGUAUUAUAAAUAAUAUAUUAUAAUUUAUAGCACAUGGAUCAUUGUAAAACAGUUUAAAUUAAUGUCACCAACUAAGAUGUGACAGUUCUUGAGUGCAUUGCCUGGCAGGGAGCAGAGCAGUGUAAAGUGACCGCCUACAUCUCCAUGUCCCAGCACCCAGUAAGAGGUCAGUUUAGUUCCAGUCCCCAGGCUUCCUUCUCAAGCCAUCUGCUCUAUAUAAGAUGGGCUUUUAGUUCUCUAAUUAUCCCACAUCAUCAAUGUCCUUUUGUUGUGAGUGAUACAGGGGAGAUAAUUAAUUGAAUAUUGAAAUAAAAAUUAUUAACUUUCA